rnacentral:tRNA from 2 species
GGGCCGGUGGUCUAGUGGCAGGACGCGCCCCUGGCUAGGGCGAGGCCGCGGGUUCGAAUCCCGCCCGGUCCA